AUGGACGGAGGGGAGCUCAAGCUCUACGGCAUGUGGGCGAGCCCCUACGUGCUGCGAGUCCGGCUCGCCCUCAAGCUCAAGGGCCUGGACUACGAGUACGUGGAGGAGGACCUAUCCAACAAGAGCGCCGCCCUCCUCCGCCUCAACCCUGUGCACAAGAAGGUCCCCGUCCUCCUCCACGGCGGCCGCCCCAUCGCCGAAUCGGCCGUCAUCCUCGAGUACAUCGACGAGACGUGGCCCCAGAGAUUCCCGCUGAUGCCCGCCGAUCCCCGCGAGAGGGCCGCCGUGCGCUUCUGGUCCCACUUCGCCGUCAACAAGGUCGGCCAGAACUCCGGGGAGAUAUCCAUCCCCACUCCUCAGCCAUUCCUUUUGUCAAUUCUCCUUGCUCUUGCAGUUGGGUCCCUCGGUGACGGCGAUCUUCCGCUCCACCGGCGAGGGGCAGAGGGCGGCCGUCGCCGAAGCGCGGGAGAAUAUGAAGCUGCUGGACGAUGAGCUCUCGGAGGGGCUCUUCCGGGGGAGGAAGUUCUUCGGCGGGGAGAAGCUGGGCUUCCUGGACAUCGUUCUCGGCUGCGGGUCGCACUGGCUCCGCGGCGUUGAAGAGGUGGCCGGAGAGGACAUCGGCGAGGACUUCCCCUCAUUCACCCGCUGGCUUCGAGAGUUCGAAGCUCAGCCGGAGGUCCAGGAACUGCUUCCCCCUUCCGACAGGCUGCUCGACUACGUCCGCGGCGUCCGCCAAUUGCUACUGAAUCAGUCUUAGGAAGACGACUUCUGCCUGCUCUCCAGUCAGCCCAUGGAAUAAGGAGAGAAGAGCGAGAGCGAGAGAGAGAGAGAGAGAGAGAGGAUCGUGUUUCCAGGGACUGGUAUAAAUCAAUCUUUAGUAUUAACUAAUCUAGUAUUAGGCGUUCCGUCUCGGUCGAGUAAAGAGCUUAAUGACUACUUCACUAUUAUAAUUCUCAGAUCGGAUCAUGAAGAAAAUAAAGUCGGCGCUAUAAGGAGAGAAGACAUCGCUGUGUUACCCGGGACUGGUAUAAAACUAUUUUAAAUGAAUGCAUUAAGUAAUUAUAUCUACCGCGUAAAUAACUUAAUGACCACUUUACCUAUAAAACCGCAAGGAAUUAGCUUAAGAUAGAUCCUUCUUGGUGCCACCUGACGAGAAUCGAAAUUGCCCUCUGUCCCUGAACUCUCCAUCCGAUGGAGUUUUCAUGAUUUCUCACUAUCCGUGGGUGGCUAGUAAUACGGCGUUGUAAGUCACCCAUGCUCCUACGACGGAAACAAGCUCCAGUAUCACUGUUAAGAUUAAAAAUUUAGGGUUUAAGGUUUAAAAUUUAGGGUUGGUGAAGUACUAAUUCUUCAAUAUGCAAAACCCAUCCGGGCCAUCAGUAACAUCAGGAAGAUGUGAACGAGGCGGAGAGCUUCUACGGCAGGGCCAGGGAGCUCCGCCGCGACGACGAGAUCAUCCCAAGCAGUCCGCCGCUUCCCUCUUCUUCUCCUCCCCUCGUUCUGAGUUCGCUGUGCGAUCGGUUGGCGGGAGGAUGACGCCUGGAGUGUCACCGUCCUGCGUGGAGUCGUGGGCUUCGUGGGGUGACGAUAAGAGGGGGACGUCGUUAUCGUGCUGAAUAAGUGCAAGUGUGGAGCGAUAGAUAUCCUGACUGCUUCGGUAGUGCUAUGGAAGUCGUGGACGACGUGGGCGACGUGCAGACGUGCAGCUUCGGCCGUAGGCUUCCGUGGAAAAAGCCGCAGCUUUCGAGUGUAAAGAUCCCUGUAAUGAUAUUAUAUCACACCUCCGCACGACGAGCCCGGUGAGUGAAUUUCGUGAGAUUAAUUAUUUUUAUUCCCGUUCAAAUAUGAUCCCAGAAGCGGGUUUUUAAGGAUGUUCGUUCCCUUUUGAGGAAUUUUCUUGAUUUCGAGGUGUUUUCUACGAGCUUAGAUCCGGCGAAAAUUAACUCUGGGGAUCCGUUCCGUGAUUUCGUUGCCCAUCGACUGCUUGGGCCUCAAGAUAACAGCCGUCGCCGCCGCCGCGGCCUAUAAGGCGGCGACCAUGGCGAGCCAUCCGGCGUCGCUGAAACCAGGCUGGCCGCCAUGGAUGGAGGGGAGCUCAAGCUCUACGGCUUGUGGGCAAGCCCCUUCGUGCAGCGAGUCCGACUCGCCCUCAAGCUCAAGGGCCUGGACUACGAGUACGUGGAGGAGGACCUGUCCAACAAGAGCGCCGCCCUCCUCCGCCUCAACCCUGUGCACAAGAAGGUCCCCGUCCUCCUCCACGGCGGCCGCCCCAUCGCCGAAUCGGCCGUCAUCCUCGAGUACAUCGACGAAACGUGGCCCCAAAGGUUCCCCCUGAUGCCC
rnacentral:lncRNA from 1 species